UACAGAGGGGGCAAGCGUUAUUCGGAAUUAUUGGGCGUAAAGGGCGCGUAGGCGGCUUUGCAAGUGACGGGUGAAAUCCCUCGGCUUAACCGAGGAACUGCCUGUCAGACUGUGAGGCUUGAGACCAGGAGAGGUGAGUGGAAUUCCCAGUGUAGCGGUGAAAUGCGUAGAUAUUGGGAGGAACACCAGUGGCGAAGGCGGCUCACUGGACUGGUACUGACGCUGAGGCGCGAAAGCGUGGGGAGCAAACAGGAUUAGAUACCCCCGUAGUCC
rnacentral:rRNA from 1 species